rnacentral:misc_RNA from 1 species
GUAUUUAAAGUUUUAAAGGCAUUCAAAGCCCAACAACAAACAUUCUGAGACAUACUAUAGGGGUAUAUAUAAACAUAGACCGGAAGUACAAGGAAAGCUGGCUUUGCGCACAGCAGUCCUCAAACCGAGUUUCCUCGAGAGUUUAUCCAGGUCUACAGAAGGUGCACAGGUGGUAAAAAGGUUGGUGUUAAGCGUGCACAUGCUCCGAAGAGCCAGCAACAACCUAACCAAGCUUAUUCAAUAAUGAUCCUUCCGCAGGUUCACCUACGGAAA